rnacentral:tRNA from 1 species
GCCUUAGAAAGAUAAUAGACAUCUAUU